rnacentral:sRNA from 1 species
GACUCGAGCGUCAGCGAGAGAGCGUUGCCGCAGGCAACGACCCGUAGGGCGAAGCGCGCAGCGCUGAGUAAUCCUUCCCCCACCACCA